CGCGGCCUAUCAGCUUGUUGGUGGGGUAACGGCCUACCAAGGCGAUGACGGGUAGCCGGUCUGAGAGGACGAUCGGUCACACUGGGACUGAGAUACUGCCCAGACUCCUACGGGAGGCUGCAGUCGAGAAUCUUCCGCAAUGGGCGAAAGCCUGACGGAGCGACACCGCGUGCAGGAUGAAGGCCUUCGGGUUGUAAACUGCUGUCACGCUAUAGGAAUUCCCUGUCAUUAAUAGCUGCAGGGUUGACCAAAGCGAGAGGAAGCACCGGCUAACUCCGUGCCAGCAGCCGCGGUAAGACGGAGGGUGCGAACGUUGUUCGGAAUCACUGGGCAUAAAGCGCACGUAGGCGGCCAAGUCAGUCGGGUGUGAAAGCCUUCGGCUCAACCGGAGAAUUGCACUCGAUACUGCUUGGCUUGAGGACGGUUGGGGUGAGUGGAACUCCUGGUGGAGCGGUGAAAUGCGUAGAUAUCAGGAGGAACACCAGUGGCGAAAGCGGCUCACUGGACCGUAUCUGACGCUGAGGUGCGAAAGCUAGGGUAGCGAACGGGAUUAGAUACCCCGGUAGUCCUAGCCGUAAACGAUGGGCACUAGGUAGGGGGGAUACCUAUGGUCUUCCCUGCCGUAGCAAAUGUGUUAAGUGCCCCGCCUGGGGGAGUACGG
rnacentral:rRNA from 1 species